AGAGGUUCUACUUUGUUUUAAUAAAAAACAAUCCUGUGUGCUGAGAGGGAGGGCCCUGGACGCGGCAGAGGGCUUCACAUCUUUUGUUCAAACAAUGCUAUUAUUUGCAACUGUACGCCCACUUUGUUACUUCUACGUUCUGUUUCUUUGCUCAGUGUUCCUGCAUUUUAUUUCGCGCAAGGUUUUCUUCCGUUUCAUACCGUUAUAUUGUAUAAAUCGUGCUAUGUUGCUCCUUUUCAUUCAUGCAUCUGCUGCACUAUGGCACCUCAAGCGUCAAACAAAAAAGCUACUCCCUCCGUCUCAAAAUAUGGUCUUAACUUUGUACUAACUUUAGUACAAAGUUACACUAAGCUUUAGACAUUUAUUUUGAGACGGAGGGAGUACUGCAUUUGGUCUUUGAUGUCAACAUAUGCUCCCUCCGUCCCACAAAUAUGUUUUUGCAAAUAGCUUGCAAAAAUCUCUACAUUAUGGGACGGAGGGUGUAUUUAUUUAGUUUUGAGUACCCAUUUAUAUGUGGUAUACAUCAUGUGCAAGCUAAUCUAUGCACUCCCCCUAUUUCUAUGUUUGCCUCUUGUGUGAUUCCACCUUGCCCUCUUUCUAUGCACAGGUGAUAUUUCCGGUAGUAUGUGAUUUGAACUUCAUUUUGUUUACUUGAACCAAAAACAUUGUACUCUACAUCUUGAUCUCGUGUAGUUAAUUCCUCAUAUUUAUGUGGGUUACUUUUGAACCACUAAUAACUUUGAUGACAUAUAAUUUUCAUGUAAUGCAGUAUAUGGGAAUGUACAAGCAUAUAAACUGGAUAUUUCCUAGAAAUCUCAAUAUUAGAUAAUCACUAGCUGCAAGCGUAUACACUGGAUGGCUUGUCGUGGGCUAGCACUCUUGCACGGUAUGCACCACCAUGAAAAUACUCCCAAGUCUGAAUUCUGGUCAUAUAUGCUUGGUCAGUGGUUUGUAUCUGUUACUCUUCCAAUCUUCGGCAGCGGUGGAGACUUUUGGGAUCAGCAGCCGUAGAAGAUGCAGGGCAAAGGCUUAGAAGGGGUUUCUCGUAAUUUUAGCAGAUGUCAGUUGGCUCAGAAUUACGAACGAGGCUUUAACGCAGCUGUACUGUCAUAUACAACAUGUAUAUAUAUAACAGUGAAUAACAUUAAACACCCUAGUUUUGAAAA